GAUGCCAAAACUGAAUGAGACGUGAGAAUCCCUGCGGGGACUGUCCCGAAUGGAGAUCCGAUUGUGGGGAAUUUUUUUUGCGGGGAUGGGGAUGGGGGACAAAAUUCCCCCGAAGCAGGCGAGGAGACCCGAGUGGGGAUCCCCGCCCCGUCCCCACUAUUCCCCAAAAUUUAUGAAUUUCCUGAAUUAUCCUUAAUAGUUUAUUUCU